rnacentral:lncRNA from 1 species
GAAAAAGUUGAAUUUUUGGGAAACCUGUUGAUUUGAGAAUCCACGGAUUGAAACAAAAGUAUAUUUUGAUUAAAGAAAGCAUACUUAUUGCUCAGUUUUCAUAGUAUAGUUAUGUAUUCAUGGUUUUGGCUUGAAGGCACAAUCCAUUGUUAAAUCUUUUCAAGGUACUCACCUUUACUAUAAAAUAUGAUUUUCAGGACCGAGGGUUAUCCUGAGUCUUGAGCAUGUGGAUUCCAGUUGUGCUGUUUAAUUUGAUAAACUAUUAAAGUGUAAUUAGAUGUUGUAAAUUAUUUCCGCACUCUGAUGUAAAUGACAGUGUAUUGUCCUUUUUUGGUUUGACUUUUUCCCACAUGUAGUUGUUUGCUACGUGGCCUGGUCUUGGUUUGACUCGGGGCGUGACAACUACUGCGCCCUAUCUUGAUUCGGAGAUACACGAUUUUCAGCAUCAUGGCACUGCUAUUAUAUCAUCAAUACCAGAGUCUUACCAACCUAAGUGACAUAUCCUGGUAGGAGAAGUUCAAAUCCUACGGCGUGCAACAAAAUCACCUCUGAAACCAUGGUUACGGCCGUACAAAGAGUGGUUUUGUAGUUGUGUGGUUAAAUACUGCAGCACUUUGGAAGCAAUUCAAGUCAAAGUAACUUAGUAUCUCAAAUAGUAAUUUUUCAUUGCAAAUUAAUUGUUGUAACUUUCUUAUUUAAACAUAUUUAUUUUUCUGUUAUAGGGUGGAAGUCUGCACAUGCCUCGCUAAAACUGUAUUAUGGGAUACCAUGUGUUGCCCAGAUAAAUCAACCUAGAAGGGGGGGUGAAUAGGGUUGUUGGCAAACUUUCUUUUAUUAAAAAUUAUACCAAAUUAAGAGUUUAGAACAAAUUUAAAAAGCAAUAUAUGCAAAGAAAUAAAGAACUCAAUAAUAAAGCUAUAGGGAGAGAGAUUCAAACUCGGCGAUUUAUAGUUGUUCGGUCUCCUGACUCACGUCCACUCCUCAGCACACCACUUGAAUUUCAAUCCACUAAACCAAACUCCUUACGGGUGGAGUUCAAACUUUACACUCAAGAGCACACCCUCUUCUUCCAAGGUGAAAAACCUCUUCCUCACCUCAUAAAACAAGGGUCACACAACCCUCAAGGGUCAACCACAACCCUCUUGAUACAAUCGACUUUGAUAAGUUUGAGAUUUUGUCUCCAUACAAUAACAAAUUCUCCUUUUUUGGAGAAGGAUAUACAAUGAAGCUUUUUAAAUGAUAUCUCUCACUAGAACUCUUGAAGACUCAAAGGAAAUUGAAAGAAAGUAUGCCUUUGAGUUUCUAGCUUGUUUUUUCUCACUUGGUUACUUACCAAAUGAAUCUAAGGAUAUGUGUCUUUAUAGGCCUUAGAACGAAUAUAACCGUUGGAGGAAUUUAAAUUUGCUACCAUUUUUCACUUUGAAAUCACAUUUUUCAAAGUCAGAAAUUGUUGCAUCCAAAUUUCAAAAGUUGCAACUACAUUGCAAAGUGCAGAAAUUCUUUUUACCAAUUUUUUCACAGUUGCCACCACAUUUUCCAAGUCAGAAAUUUUUGCUAUUCAAAAUUUCAAACUUGCGAAUCAAAUUUUCAAAGUCAGAAUUGGUUGCUAGCAGUAUUUUCAAAUUGAAUCAAAUUUUCCAAAGUCAGAAAUUGUUACUAGCAUAUUUCAAAUUCUUGAAUCAAAUUUUCAAGUCAGAAAUUGUUGCUAGCAAUUUUCAAACUUGAAAUCAAAUUUUCAAAAUCAAAUUAUUACUGCCCAUUUUUCAAAAAUGUAAUUAAUUUUCAAAGAUAAGAAUUAUUGCUAGCACAUUUUAAGAACUUUAAAUUUUAAUAUUUUUAAAAUGCCUGAAGGAUAUUAAGGUCAUUAGAGCCUCAAGAAUUAACCUACAAGAGCUUUACAAAAAUACCCUAAUGGAAAUUCUUCAUUUUGAGAUCUCAGUGCUUGAAGUCUUCGGGCGAUUUGCAGUCCAAAUAUCUCGAGUAUUUUGCUCCUUGAGAAUAUUGCUUGAUAGUUCUGCAAAAACCAAAACGAUCAUACUUGAAUUAAAAUAAAUUAUGAGCAAUAAGAUAGGAAUUUGUUAUCAUCAAAAUAUUUGCCAACAUAAUAGGAUUGACGACAUAGGGCAACACCAUGUAUCGCUAAAUACAUCCUUCCGCGAAAUUCAAAAAGAUGUGAGAAUAAGUUCGCCAACAUGCAGAAGUCAUUCGAGAGAUUCUUAAACAUUCCACGCAUAAACAAAGGGACUGACUAUAUUGUCAGUAAGGUAAUAUUUUCUAAUUUGUUAGAGGAGUGUGAGUUGAUCAAUCAACAAUGCAAUAGCUAAUACCGCCUCCCCCAUCCCAACAGUUCGCACGACGGAUGGACUCUAUGGCAUUGGGAGUGUCCUCUCAUCAAGAGGGAUACAACUUUUAAUGACACAUUUGACACAUAUCAAUCAGGUUGUUUACUUCUUGCCGUUGAGAUCCACCCGGUUGUCGGGCCAAGGAUCGCCGGAGAUAG